UACGGAGGGUGCAAGCGUUAUCCGGAUUCACUGGGUUUAAAGGGUGCGUAGGCGGCUAUGUAAGUCCGUGGUGAAAUCUCUGGGCUUAACCCGGAAACUGCCAUGGAUACUAUGUGUCUUGAAUGUUGUUGAGGUGAGCGGAAUAUGUCAUGUAGCGGUGAAAUGCUUAGAUAUGACAUAGAACACCAGUGGCGAAGGCAGCUCACUAAGCAAAUAUUGACGCUGAGGCACGAAAGCGUGGGGAUCAAACAGG
rnacentral:rRNA from 1 species